UACGGAGGGUGCAAGCGUUAUCCGGAUUUACUGGGGUUAAAGGGUGCGCAGGCGGAUAUGUAAGUCAGUGGUGAAAUCUCCAGGCUUAACCUGGAAAUUGCCGUUGAUACUAUAUAUCUUGAAUGCUGUGGAGGUAAGCGGAAUAUGUCAUGUAGCGGUGAAAUGCUUAGAGAUGACAUAGAACACCUAUUGCGAAGGCAGCUUACUACGCAGAUAUUGACGCUCAUGCACGAAAGCGUGGGGAUCAAACAGG
rnacentral:rRNA from 1 species